GAUAAACGCUGGCGGCGUGCUUAACACAUGCAAGUCGAACGAAGUUUUUCCUUCGGGAGAAACUUAGUGGCGGACGGGUGAGUAACGCGUGGGUAGCCUGCCCUGUACAGGGGGACAACAGCUGUAAACGGCUGCUAAUACCGCAUAAGCCCUUAGCACUGCAUGGUGCGUAGGGAAAAGGAGCAAUCCGGUACAGGAUGGACCCGCGUCUGAUUAGCCAGUUGGCAGGGUAACGGCCUACCAAAGCGACGAUCAGUAGCCGAUCUGAGAGGAUGUACGGCCACAUUGGGACUGAGACACGGCCCAGACUCCUACGGGAGGCAGCAGUGGGGAAUAUUGCACAAUGGAGGAAACUCUGAUGCAGCGACGCCGCGUGAGUGAAGAAGUAUUUCGGUAUGUAAAGCUCUAUCAGCAGGGAAGAAAAUGACGGUACCUGACUAAGAAGCACCGGCUAAAUACGUG
rnacentral:rRNA from 1 species